rnacentral:rRNA from 1 species
UACAGAGGUCUCAAGCGUUGUUCGGAUUCAUUGGGCGUAAAGGGCGCGUAGGUGGCAUGGUAAGUCGGAUGUGAAAUCCCGGGGCUCAACCCCGGAACUGCAUUCGAUACUGCUGCGCUAGAGUACUGGAGAGGAGAUUGGAAUUUACGGUGUAGCAGUGAAAUGCGUAGAUAUCGUAAGGAAGACCAGUGGCGAAGGCGGAUCUCUGGACAGUUACUGACACUGAGGCACGAAGGCCAGGGGAGCAAACGGG